AAAAAGAAGAUGAUCGAGAAUUUGCACAGAGAUCUUAUAUUCAAUUCAUUCGUCUGGAAGAGCGGCGGAAAGUUCUUCAGCGGCGCAUAAGCUUGUGAUCUAAUCAACGAAGGGGUAGAAGAUGGCGUCUUCAACCUUCAGUUCUGUUUCUUGUUUAUUCAAGG